CUCUCAUAGCUACCACACCACUACCGCGUUGCUUGCUUUUUCGCUCUCUCUCUCUUUCUCGCACCACCUCCUUUUCCUUCAUCGCCUCUACUGACUUGUCGAGACACGCCAACGAUACAUCCCGCUGUCGAGCCUGUGCCUGUCGGCGUGCCACUUGCAAAGACCUUCCCUCCUCCCUCCCUCUCUCUUUCUCUCUUCAUCGUCAUUUUGUAAGGGGGUGUAACGCCGUCGGUGCACCGCUAUCGUCGUUGCGCGCGAGUACCCGGGAAACAAAAAGGAAUAAGAUUCGAAGAUGGAGGAGACCAACCUCAGCUUCAAGAUCGUCCUGAUCGGCGACAGCGGCGUCGGGAAGUCGAACCUCAUGACGCGUUACACAACCAACGAGUUCAACCAGGAAACCCCGUCCACCAUCGGCGUAGAGUUUAUGACGAAGAGCGUCAAGAUUCAGAGCCGCGAUGCGAAGAUCCAGAUUUGGGACACGGCAGGUCAGGAGCGCUUCCGCGCCAUCUCGCGCUCCAUCUACCACGGUGCGAAGGGUGCCAUGCUCGUGUACGACAUCACGAACCAGACCUCCUUCGACUCGAUUCCGACGUGGCUGCAGGAGCUGCGCGUCUUUGUGCCAGCCACCUGCUGCAUCUUCUUGAUUGGCAACAAGUGCGAUCUGGAGCACCUGCGCGUUGUUAAGAAGGAAGCGGCCGACCGCUUCGCUCGCGAAAACGGCCUGUCCUUCCUCGAAACGUCUGCGCUGGAGAGGACGAACGUAGACAAGGCCUUCGAGUGGCUCGCCAAGUCCGUCUACGAGGUCGUCGUCACCCCACAGACACGCGAGGCCGACCGCACGGCGCCGAAGCAAGGCAGGACGGUCAACAUGAACCCCAGCGAAAGCCCGGAGACCAAGAAGACCAGUGGCUGCUGCUAAGGUUGGAAGUGGAUGGCAAGGAGCCGCAUUUCGGAUGGGUGCGAGCGUCUGUACGUGUUGUGGGUGGCUGUGUCUGCCGGAGUCUUUCCUACUUUGGCUACAGAUAGACGCGCACGCAUGCACAGGAGUAGACGCGCGUACUAUGUGCACUGCCUGCGUAGUGGGCCCAUGGUGUUGAUAUCAACGCUGCUCGUGCGGCGAGUAUGUGUACGUGUGCAGAGGGGAGAAAAAGAGAGAGUGCUUGGGCGAGCAUCCGCCCCCCCCACCCACCUCCCAGUGAAGCUCUCUGGGGUCGUCUUACUUGCGUCGCCACCACCGCCGCUUUUUCACCGCGCACUCUCUUUCUCUUUCUGUCGAGUGCGCGCACGCGUUUAUGUCGGUGUGCAUAUGUGUGUGUGUGUGUGUGUGUGUGUGUGUGUGUGUGUGUGUAUCUGGCGCGCCUCGCCUCACCACGUUGUUUGUGGGCGGGACUCGCGCGCACGCAAGCACAGCUGCAGAAGCGAGCACCACCAGACGUGGCACAAACCGAAAGACACGGAAGGGAAGGCGCAAAAAGUGAAGAUGGCGAUGUAAGCAGCACCGUAAAAAAAGCGCGAGGGGGAGAGGAAGGGGGACGGUGGCAACGGUGCGUUGCCGGGAGAUGGCAGAGUGGCCAGCGGAUACAUACACGCACGGUUGUGGAGAGGAGGGUGGGGUGCGAACGGAAAGGACACAGAACGAGAGAGGGAAGCGAAUUCGGUGGCGCUGUCCGUGAUAUCGCGGCCUCCACGCCCUCUCCCUAGGGAAAGCGGGUAUGCGCGUGCCCGCGUAUGAGGCGCAGGGGCGUGGGGGAGGAGGGGGUUCUCACUCGUAUGGACACGGGAGCCGCGCCUUCGUGUUUUUGCUUGCUUGCCCUCCGCGCACGCGUCAUCUCUGUUUUCCGCCUGUCUUCCUUUUUCUAUUUUGUUCUUCAUGUCCUUUUCUCUCUUCUUGUCGGAGUGCUGCUGCUGCUGGCGCGUGUGUCUCUGUGUCUAUGUCUGUGUGUCUGCGCGUACUUGGUGUCUGGCUUGCGUGUGUGUGUGUGUGUGUGUGUGUGGUGUUUCUCGGAGAAGCCAACUGUUACUUGAGUGAUGCAGAAGCGUCUCAUGAGAG
rnacentral:misc_RNA from 1 species